rnacentral:rRNA from 1 species
UACAGAGGUCCCAAGCGUUGUUCGGAUUCACUGGGCGUAAAGGGUGCGUAGGCGGUCGGGUAAGUCCGAUGUGAAAUCUCACAGCUUAACUGUGAAACUGCAUUGGAUACUAUCCGGCUAGAGGAUGGAGGGGAGACUGGAAUACUUGGUGUAGCAGUGAAAUGCGUAGAUAUCAAGUGGAACACCAGUGGCGAAGGCGAGUCUCUGGACAUUUCCUGACGCUGAGGCACGAAAGCCAGGGGAGCAAACGGG